UACGUAGGGUGCAAGCGUUAAUCGGAAUUACUGGGCGUAAAGCGUGCGCAGGCGGUUCUGUAAGUCUGACGUGAAAUCCCCGGGCUCAACCUGGGAAUUGCGUUGGAGACUGCAAGGCUAGAAUCUGGCAGAGGGGGGUAGAAUUCCACGUGUAGCAGUGAAAUGCGUAGAGAUGUGGAGGAACACCGAUGGCGAAGGCAGCCCCCUGGGUCAAGAUUGACGCUCAUGCACGAAAGCGUGGGGAGCAAACAGG
rnacentral:rRNA from 1 species